rnacentral:rRNA from 1 species
GAUGAACGCUGGCGGCGUGCCUAAUACAUGCAAGUCGAGCGAACGGACGAGAAGCUUGCUUUUCUGAUGUUAGCGGCGGACGGGCGAGUAACACGUGGAUAACCUACCUCUAAGACUGGGAUAAUUUCGGGAAACCGCAGCUAAUACCGGAUAAUAUUUUGAACCGCAUGGUUCAAGAGUGAAAGACGGUCUUGCUGUCACUAAUAGCUGGAUCCGCGCUGCAUUAGCUAGUUGGUAAGGUAACGGCUUACCAAGGAUACGAUGCAUAGCCGAUCUGAGAGGGUGAUCGGCCACACUGGAACUGAGACACGGUCCAGACUCCUACGGGAGGCAGCAGUAGGGAAUCUUCCGCAAUGGGCGAAAGCCUGACGGAGCAACGCCGCGUGAGUGAUGAAGGUCUUCGGAUCGUAAAACUCUGUUAUUAGGGAAGAACAUAUGUGUAAGUAACUGUGCACAUCUUGACGGUACCCAAUCAGAAAGCCACGGCUAACUUCGUG